rnacentral:rRNA from 1 species
CGAAGGCAUAAGCGUUGGAACCACCUGAUCCCAUCCCGAACUCAGAAGUGAAACGACGCAUCGCCGAUGGUAGUGUGGGGCUUCCCCAUGUGAGAGUAGGUCAUCGU